UACGGAGGGUGCAAGCGUUACUCGGAAUCACUAGGCGUAAAGCGCAGGUAGGCGGUUCGGUAAGUCUUUUGUGAAAGCUCCCGGCUCAACUGGGAGAGGUCAAAGGAAACUACCGGGCUAGAGUGUGGUAGGGGAAACUGGAAUUCCUGGUGUAGCGGUGAAAUGCGUAGAUAUCAGGAGGAACACCUAUGGCGAAAGCAGGUUUCUGGGCCAUCACUGACGCUGAGCUGCGAAAGCUAGGGGAGCAAACAGG
rnacentral:rRNA from 1 species